GCUGGCUCCGGCAGCACAGGAACUAAAGUCGGAAUGCUACAGAGAAGACUAGCAUGGGCCCUGGGCAAGGAUGACAUGCAAAUCCAUGGAGCCUUCGUGUUUUUA